rnacentral:rRNA from 1 species
UACGUAGGGUGCGAGCGUUGCCCGGAUUUAUUGGGCGUAAAGGGCGCGUAGGCGGCUCUGCACGUCCGUUGUGAAAUCGCCCGGCUCAACUGGGCGGGGUCAGCGGAUACGGCGGAGCUUGAGCAAGCUAGGGGGCAAUGGAAUUCCCGGUGUAGUGGUGGAAUGCGUAGAUAUCGGGAGGAACACCAGUGGCGAAGUCGGUUGCCUGGGGCUUUGCUGACGCUGAUGCGCGAAAGCGUGGGGAGCGAUCCGG